rnacentral:sRNA from 1 species
AUCGGCGAUGUAGCGCACCACCGACAGAUCGUGACUGAUGAAGACAUAGGUGAGCUUGAAUUCGUCCUGCAGAUCGGCGAGCAGGUUCAGAACCUGCGCCUG